UAAAAUUUUAUGAGUAUUAUCGUAUGGAAUAUUGGCAAUUUUUGAAAUUGACAGAUUUGUUAAGAGUACAUAUAACAAAAAAGACUACAAAUUAUCGUUGCACCAUUACAGCCGAAGAAAGGUUAACGGUAACUUUAAGAUUCCUCAUCACUGGUUGCAGUUUCAAAAACUUGUCAUUUAAUUUUCGAAUGGGAAUUUCUACAGUUCAUUCAAUUAUUCAUGAGACAAUCAGAGUAAUUUGUGAUGUUUUGAUGCCCAUAGUUAUGCAGAUGCCAGAUGAAGAAAUGUGGGAAAAGUACAGUGUUACUAGCUGUGGUCGACGCGAAAUACAGUUUUUUAAUUGUUGAUGUCGGAUCAUAUGGUAAAAAUAGCGACGGCGGAAUUUUACAGAAUUCAAAAUUUUGGAAAAAACUCAACACCAAUAAGUUAAAGCUGCCCCCAAAUAAACCUCUACCUAGUACCACUGAAAGCUUACCACAUGUUUUUAUAGGAGACGAGGCAUUUCCUUUGAGCAAUAAUAUAUUGCGGCCGUAUCCAAGAGAACAAGCAAGAACAGAAUUAUCA